GACGAACCGUGCGAACGUUAUUCGGAAUCACUGGGCUUAAAGCGCGUGUAGGCGGGAGGGCACGUCCGUCGCUGAAAUCCCCCGGCUCAACCGGGGAACGGGCGCGGAUACGACCUUCCUGGAGGGGCGUGGGGGGACCUGGAACUUCCGGUGGAGCGGUGAAAUGCGUUGAGAUCGGAAGGAACGCCCGUGGCGAAAGCGAGGUCCUGGACGCCUACUGACGCUGAGACGCGAAAGCCAGGGGAGCGAAUGGG
rnacentral:rRNA from 1 species